AUUGAACGCUGGCGGCAGGCCUAACACAUGCAAGUCGAGCGAGCGGCGGACGGGUGAGUAAUGUAUUGGGACAUGCCCGAUAGUGGGGGAUAACCACUCGAAACGGUGGCUAAUACCGCAUACUAUUCGAUGGACCCAUAUGGGAUUAGCUAGUAGGUGGGGUAAAGGCCUACCUAGGCGACGAUCACUAGCUGGUCUGAGAGGAUGAUCAGCCACACUGGGACUGAGACACGGCCCAGACUCCUACGGGAGGCAGCAGUGGGGAAUAUUGGACAAUGGGCGCAAGCCUGAUGCAGCCAUGCCGCGUGUAUGAAGAAGGCCUUAGGGUUGUAAAGGACUUUCAGCGGGGAGGCGUUACCCGCAGAAGAAGCACCGGCUAACUCCGUGCCAGCAGCCGCGGUAAUAC
rnacentral:rRNA from 1 species